rnacentral:rRNA from 1 species
AGCAGCCGCGGUAAUUCCAGCUCCAAUAGCGUAUAUUAAAGUUGUUGCAGUUAAAAAGCUCGUAGUUGAAUUUCGAGACCGGCUUACUGGUCGUGCUUUUGUACGUACUGGUAUAAUCGGUUUCUCCUUUCUGACGAACUAUAAUGCCAUUAAUUUGGUGUUAUAGGGAAUCAGGACUGUUACUUUGAAAAAAAUUAGAGUGUUUAAAGCAGGCUCACGCUUGAAUACAUUAGCAUGGAAUAACGGAAUAGGACGUUUGAUUCUAUUUUGUUGGUUUCUAGGAUCGACGUAAUGAUUAAUAGGGAUAGUUGGGGGCAUUAGUAUUCAAUUGUCAGAGGUGAAAUUCUUGGAUUUAUUGAAGACUAACUACUGCGAAAGCAUUUGCCAAGGAUGUUUUCAUUAAUCAAGAACGAAAGUUAGGGGAUCGGAGACGAUCAGAUACCGUCGUAGUCUUAACCAUAAACUAUGCCGACUAGGGAUCGGAUGAUGUUAAUUUUUUAAUGACUCAUUCGGCGCCUUA